GGGGAUGACAGGCUUCGACGGGGAAGGCUGGCCCCUGACUGCAAGCCGAGUAUGCUUCUCAUCUCGUAAAUCUGGAAGCAAAAACAAUAAGUGCCAACACCAAUGUGGCCUACAACGCUCU
rnacentral:tmRNA from 1 species